GACGCUGGCUAUACAUAAUGGAAAAGAAAUGAAAAUGAAAAUAUAAAGGUUUUUUCUUUUCAUCGUACGAAAAACGCACGAAA
rnacentral:ribozyme from 11 species